rnacentral:rRNA from 1 species
UAGGGAAUCUUCGGCAAUGGACGGAAGUCUGACCGAGCAACGCCGCGUGAUUGAAGAAGGUUUUCGGAUCGUAAAGCUCUGUUGUUAGAGAAGAACGUUGGUAGGAGUGGAAAAUCUACCAAGUGACGGUAACUAACCAGAAAGGGACGGCUAACUACGUGCCAGCAGCCGCGGUAAUACGUAGGUCACGAGCGUUGUCCGGAUUUAUUGGGCGUAAAGCGAGCGCAGGCGGUUCUUUAAGUCUGAAGUUAAAGGCAGUGGCUUAACCAUUGUACGCUUUGGAAACUGGAGGACUUGAGUGCAGAAGGGGAGAGUGGAAUUCCAUGUGUAGCGGUGAAAUGCGUAGAUAUAUGGAGGAACACCGGUGGCGAAAGCGGCUCUCUGGUCUGUAACUGACGCUGAGGCUCGAAAGCGUGGGGAGCAAACAGG